rnacentral:rRNA from 1 species
GUUAGGAAUAUUGGACAAUGGGCGCAAGCCUGAUCCAGCCAUGCCGCGUGAGUGAUGAAGGCCUUCGGGUUGUAAAGCUCUUUAGCCGAUGAUUAUAAUGACUGUAGUCGGAAAAUAAGCCCCGGCUAACUUCGUGCCAGCAGCCGCGGUAAUACGAAGGGGGCGAGCGUUAUUCGGAAUCACUGGGCGUAAAGCGUGCGUAGGCGGCUUUGCAAGUUGGGAGUGAAAGCCCAGGGCUCCACCCUGGAAGUACUCUCAAAACUGCAAGGCUCAAAUUCGGGAGAGGAUAGCGGAAUUGGCAGUGUAGCAGUGAAAUGCGUAGAUAUUGACAGGAACACCAGUGGCGUAAGCGGCUAUCUGGACCGAUAUUGACGCUGAGGCACGAAAGCGUGGGGAUCAAACAGGAUUAGAAACCCGUGUAGUCC